rnacentral:rRNA from 1 species
GACGAACGCUGGCGGCGUGCUUAACACAUGCAAGUCGAACGGUGAAGCGCUUGCCUUUUUGGUGGGUGUGGAUGAGUGGCGAACGGGUGAGUAACACGUGAGUAACCUGCCCUCUUCUUCUGGAUAACCUCAUGAAAGUGGGGCUAAUACGGGGUAUUCCGGGUCUGUCGCAUGGCGGGUUUGGGAAAGAUUGCGCCUUUGGGUGUUUUCGGUGGGGGAUGGGCUCGCGGCCUAUCAGCUUGUUGGUGGGGUGAUGGCCUACCAAGGCGGUGACGGGUAGCCGGCCUGAGAGGGUGGACGGCCACACUGGGACUGAGACACGGCCCAGACUCGUGCGGGAGGCGGCAGUGGGGAAGAUUGCACAAUGGGCGCAAGCCGGAUGCAGCGACGCCGCGUGAGGGAGGGAGGCCUUCGGGUUGUGAACCUCUUUCGCCAGUGAAGCAGGCCUGCUCCUGUGUGGGUGGGUUGACGGUAGCUGGAUAAGAAGCGCCGGCUAACUACGUG